rnacentral:sRNA from 1 species
UUCAUGUUGCAAACAUUUAAGUGCUCUUUCCCAAAACACUUCAGAUCUUGCCUCCGCUCCUCUACCUCCAGCUCAAUCCGUUUAACCCAGUGGAACUCCAACUAAAAAACUUCCUUUAGUGGAACUCUUGUGGGUAUCCUUGAAAAAUUAUUGCCAAAACACAUAGUUAUAGACCAAACGCCAAAAGGAGCAAAGCUUAGAAUUGCCUCACGGACUCAUCAACCUAACUCCCUCUGUUCAAAAUUGUUGAAUUGGUGUCCGAAGGACAGGUGGGGUCAGCAAAGAGUAGUAGGAAGGGCUGGGAUGAGCAACCAGAGAAAGGUUAGGGGAACAAAAGGAGAAAGGUUCUUCUAGGAGUAAGCCUGAUCUGCAAGUUAUUUUGCAAACUUAGAUGGUAUUUGCAUCCUCUGCAACCAUCUAUGGCCAACUUAAAAAGAUUUCAUGCGUUGAGGAUUUUGAGGACGCACAAAGGUGAACAAGAAUCCAAGACUACAUCCAUGUUAUGGACUUAGCAGAUGGUCAUAUUGCUGCACUUAGGAAGCUUUUUACUACACAGAAUAUAGGUUGCGUUGCCUAUAAUCUUGGAAUCAGCUAUGGUACAUCUGUGCAUGAAAUGGUUACUGCUUUUGAGAAAGUUUCUAGAAAGGAAAUGUGUAAUUCUACAUUAUCACAGAAGUAUGGUGAAGAUUCAUUCUCUCAACUAGAAUUCGAUCUACAUGCUUAAAAUCUUAAAAUCUUUUCUUUUAUUGGACUUUGAUAUCCUUUUAGUAUGGCAUCCAAUAGCACAUUUAGUUUUAUGAUUA